rnacentral:lncRNA from 1 species
GUCCUUAUUAGGGAUUGCCAUAAGUUUUCAACUUCUUCCUCUAGUUCCAUCUUUCUCAGCAGCAUAUCCAGAUACAUCUGGUGGAACCACCGGCUCUCGCCCUUCGACUCUCGAAGCCUCUUCCUCAGGACCUCGGACUCCGCUUCAACAUCUUUGACCGCCUGCUGCUCGUGGACCAGCUGAAUCUUCAGCCGCUGUAGUUCAGCCUCCCCCCACCCAAUGGCCACGG